CGAAUGGUACAUUUGAUGUACUGAGACGGUACCCUCAAAGGAAGGAUCGGCUAACUACGUGCCAGCAGCCGCGGUAAUACGUAGGAUCCGAGCGUUGUCCGGAAUUACUGGGUGUAAAGGGUGCGUAGGCGGACUUGUGCGUCAGAGGUGAAAUCCACGGGCUUAACCCGUGGGGUGCCUUUGAUACGGCAAGUCUUGAGUGCGAGAGAGGUGGGUGGAAUUCCUGGUGUAGCAGUGAAAUGCGUAGAUAUCAGGAGGAACACCGAUGGCGAAGGCAGCCCACCGGCUCGCAACUGACGCUGAGGCACGAAAGCGUGGGGAUCAAACAGGAUUAGAUACCCUGGUAGUCCACGCCUUAAACGAUGUAUGCUUGGUGUUGGGUCGCAAGACUCAGUGCCGGAGGAAACCUAUUAAGCAUACCACCUGGGGAGUACGAUCGCAAGGUUGAAACUCAAAGGAA
rnacentral:rRNA from 1 species